rnacentral:rRNA from 1 species
AGCGAACGCUGGCGGCAGGCUUAACACAUGCAAGUCGAGCGGGCAUCCUUGUGGUGUCAGCGGCAGACGGGUGAGUAACGCGUGGGAACGUGCCCUUCGGUUCGGAAUAACUCAGGGAAACUUGAGCUAAUACCGGAUACGUGCGAGAGCAGAAAGGUUUAUCUGCCGAAGGAUCGGCCCGCGUCUGAUUAGCUAGUUGGUGAGGUUACGGCGCACCAAGGCGACGAUCAGUAGCUGGUCUGAGAGGAUGAUCAGCCACACUGGGACUGAGACACGGCCCAGACUCCUACGGGAAGCAGCAGUGGGGAAUAUUGGACAAUGGGGGCAACCCUGAUCCAGCCAUGCCGCGUGAGUGAUGACGGCCUUAGGGUUGUAAAGCUCUUUUCUCCGGGACGAUAAUGACGGUACCGGAGGAAUAAGCCCCGGCUAACUUCGUG